rnacentral:rRNA from 1 species
GUCAGAGGUGCCGAGCGUUAGGCGGAAUCACUGGGCUUAAAGCGUGUGUAGGCGGCCCGUUAAGUGUCUUGUGAAAUCCCCCGGCUCAACCGGGGAACUGCUGGGCAUACUGGCGGGCUUGGGUCGCUCAGGGGCAGACGGAACAGGCGGUGGAGCGGUGAAAUGCGUAGAUAUCGCCUGGAACGCCGAAGGUGAAAACAGUCUGCUGGGGGCGCACCGACGCUGAGACACGAAAGCCAGGGGAGCGAACGGG